rnacentral:rRNA from 1 species
UACAUGGGGUGCAAACGUUGCUCGGAAUCAUUGGGCGUAAAGCGCACGUAGGCGGCCUCGCAAGUCUGAUGUGAAAUCCCUCGGCUCAACCGAGGACGUGCAUCGGAAACUGCGGGGCUUGAGUACUGAAGAGGAUCGCGGAAUUCCCGGUGUAGAGGUGAAAUUCGUAGAUAUCGGGAGGAACACCAGUGGCGAAGGCGGCGAUCUGGGCAGAUACUGACGCUGAGGUGCGAAAGCGUGGGGAGCAAACAGG